rnacentral:rRNA from 1 species
CGGUUUGUUAAGUCAGAUGUGAAAGCCCGGGGCUCAACCUCGGAACCGCAUUUGAAACUGGCAGGCUAGAGUCUGUAGAGGGGGGUAGAAUUUCAGGUGUAGCGGUGAAAUGCGUAGAGAUCUGAAGGAAUACCAGUGGCGAAGGCGGCCCCCUGGACAAAGACUGACGCUCAGAUGCGAAAGCGUGGGUAGCAAACAGGAUUAGAUACCCUGGUAGUCCACGCCGUAAACGCUGUCUACUUGGAGGUUGAGGUUUUAGACUUUGGCUUUCGGCGCUAACGCAUUAAGUAGACCGCCUGGGGAGUACGGCCGCAAGGUUAAAACUCAAAUGAAUUGACGGGGGCCCGCACAAGCGGUGGAGCAUGUGGUUUAAUUCGAUGCAACGCGAAGAACCUUACCUACUCUUGACAUCCAGCGAAGCCUUUAGAGAUAGAGGCGUGCCUUCGGGAGCGCUGAGACAGGUGCUGCAUGGCUGUCGUCAGCUCGUGUUGUGAAAUGUUGGGUUAAGUCCCGCAACGAGCGCAACCCUUAUCCUUGUUCGCCAGCACGUAAUGGUGGGAACUCCAGGGAGACUGCCGGUGAUAAACCGGAGGAAGGUGGGGACGACGUCAAGUCAUCAUGGCCCUUACGAGUAGGGCUACACACGUGCUACAAUGGCAGAUACAGAGGGCAGCGAGACAGCGAUGUUUAGCGAAUCCCUUAAAGUUUGUCGUAGUCCGGAUUGGAGUCUGCAACUCGACUCCAUGAAGUCGGAAUCGCUAGUAAUCGUGGAUCAGAAUGCCACGGUGAAUACGUUCCCGGGCCUUGCACACACCGCCCGU